UUUCUUGAUUUGGAAAACACAGGAAGAAGGGAUGAAGUUCAAUAGAAUCAAUGAACCUAAACCCAUCUUCUUCUUGUUUUUCAUUGUCUUCAUAUUGUCCUCAGACAACACUAGGCGCUGCUCAUCAGCUGAAUCCGGUCAUGCACAUACCCAGCCCAUCGCUAAUCAUGAAGAUCAGGAGUUGACCUUGUCAAGAAGAGGAUUGAGUGGGUUGGGAUCGUCGCCGCCGAACUGCAACUCAAAGUGUGGGAGUUGCACGCCCUGUACUACGGUUCUUGUGUCGGUGCCGCCGGGACCUUCAGGCGUCGGUGAUGAUUUCCCGAAAGUCUGGAGAUGCAAAUGUGGGAACAAGCUCUACAUGCCCUAAUUGGAAAAGGCAUACCCCCGGGCAUGUAUGCUCUUAUAUGUUACUUAUCUGCUGAUGAGCCGAGCCGAAGUAGGCGGUGUGGGUCUGUUUCAUUCAUACCCCUAUCAUAAAUCAUGUAUAGAUUAUUGUGUAAACAAAAAACACAAUGAUUAUAUACUCCUAUUUUAUCAUAUAUCUAAGUGCAGAUCAUC